rnacentral:lncRNA from 1 species
UGAAGAUCCCCAUAGAAGGCCUCACCCUCACUAGGGGGCAGAAAUGGGAUGGAAUAAGAGAUAAUUCGGUUUUUCUCCAUGAAGAAGCAACUGUUCUUUGUAUAGUCAUGCUAACAGCAAGUGAUGCAAAAAGGAACCCUACAAUAAAUGUUGGUGUCACUUUGAGCUGUGAACAAAGCAUGACCAUUCUCACACAGCUCAGAGACUGAGUGAGGAGGACUCUCAUCAUUCUGCUGUACAUAAUAGAACAUGGGAGGAGAAGGGACCCACAAUGGAAUGAAGAACAGAGAGAGCAUGUCCUGGUGUCCAGAGACAUUCAUUGCAGGGGAACAAAGAGAAACCUGGCUGAUCAGGUUUGGCUCCAAGAUUACAACAUGCUGGAGCAGGCUGAUGACCUCAGUACAUUUAGCUUUACUUGGCUCCAGGCUGAACUGCUCUUUUCCCACAUAGGGCAAUUGCCCAGCAGAAUAAAAAGCUGGUGAGUUUUGGCCAGCAGCCAGCAGUCAGCAACUUAAUAAAAAAUUUCUAAGAAAUUUAUCCUCUAUGUUUGUUGCUUGCUGGUCCUGGGAGUUCUGAUGCCAAG